rnacentral:rRNA from 1 species
GUGAGAUGUUGGGUUAAGUCCCGCAACGAGCGCAACCCUUGUUUUUAGUUGCCUUUUAUGGAACUCUAAAAAGACUGCCGGUUAUAAACCGGAGGAAGGCGGGGAUGACGUCAAGUCAGCAUGCCCCUUACACUCUGGGCUACACACGUGCUACAUUGGGCGAGACAAUGAGAUGCAAACCUGCGAGGGUAAGCUAAUCUAUAAACUCGUUCUAAGUUCGGAUUGUAGGCUGCAACUCGCCUACAUGAAGGUGGAAUCGCUAGUAAUCGCUGGUCAGCUACACAGCGGUGAAUCCGUUCCCGGGCCUUGUACACACCCCCCGUCACACCAUGGGAGCGGGUU